CCGGUGCGGUGGAUGGCCUGCUCGUGCAUGCUGCGUGACCCACCGUGAUGGGGACCUUCUCCAGCAGCAUCCCUGAGGAGAAAACACACUCCCAGCACGUGGCCGAGCGCAGGUGCCGGCUCAGGUGUUGGGAGUGAGUUGGCAGCUGAUUGCAUGCCCAGUUAAAAACCUGCUCCCUCUGUUGAGAAAAGACCCUGUCCAGGUCCGGCUCCUGCGGGACGGACAUCCCUCACAAAGAAAUGCCUCCUGUAUAGGACGUCCUGUGGUGGGCGAGCGUCGUCAUGGGAGCAGCCGCUGCUCACGCAAGGCUCUUCUUUGACUCAGCUGCUCAGGAGGAAUUCAGGACUGGAGAUGUCACUUCUCUAGAUUUUCUAACCUGAUAAUAUGAUGCAGAUUAUUUAGCAUGUUUGGUGGGAACACGCGCAGCAUGUUUGAGAUUAGAUUAGACGCACUCUUCGCGACGAUGAGAAACUCCGCCCUGCUACACCAUCGCCUUGUUUUUAUUUUCACUAUUUGUCUUAACGCUGCCAGCAAUGAGCUUAUUUGGUUAGCUAUUUUUAAAUUUACUCCAACUCUUAUUUAUGUGUUGUUGUAGUUCAAGUCCAAAAAAAAAAAAGAGGAGACGACAAUGAAUCAGUUGUGUUUAUUAUAUAUUACUUUCCCAGCUACUUCAAAUAAGUUAUGACAUGAUAAACAGAGAAAAACAGGUGGCACAUUUGCUCAUCACCCAGAAGACUGAAAGUGAAACAUCCCUAAAGGUUAAAGGUCGUUUUGGUUUGCAGUUGGAUUUUCCAUGCCGCUAGCAGCGCGCAGGUGCAACUUAAAAUUCAGCGUGACUCGCGAGUCAUAGCAGGCAAGUCUCACGGUGACACACACUCAGCUGAAGUGCUGCAGGUAUUCUGUUGUAUCUGAGAAUCAA